GUUUACAGCCAUGCCACCUUGAAUGUGGCCAAUAUCAUGUGAUCUUGGAAGCUAAUCAGGGUCAGACCUGGUUAAUACUUAGACAGGAGAUAGCUUUCAAAUAGCUCCUUGCAGUACUUU
rnacentral:rRNA from 1 species